AAUGAACAUUUUUUAGCAUAGGUAUGUCUCAAAAUAUUUGGAACAUACUUAUGCUAUAAAUUAUU
rnacentral:miRNA from 1 species